CCCUUAGAUGUUCUGGGCCGCACGCGCGCUACACUGAGCCCUUCAUCGAGUUUACAACCUUGGCCGGUAGGUCUGGGUAAUCUUCUCAAAGGGGCUCGUGCUGGGGAUAGAUUAUUGUAAUUUUUAAUCUUCAACGAGGAAUUCCUAGUAAACGCAAGUCAACAGCUUGCAUUGAUUACGUCCCUGCCCUUUGUACACACCGCCCGUCGCUACUACCGAUUGAAUGGCUUAGUGAGCCCGAGGGACUGUUGCACCUAGAGGGUUUUCUCGCCAGGAGCAGCCGGGAACUCGGUCAAACUUGAUCAUUUAGAGGAAGUAAAAGUCGUAACA
rnacentral:rRNA from 1 species